rnacentral:lncRNA from 1 species
CUGCGUCCCGGACGUGUCGACGACGGAGCAAGACCAGGCGGAUUGCUUCGUUAGAGGACUCCGACCCGAAGUGUUUCGAUUGGUACAUGCCUUCAAGUUCCACACUUUUGCGGAGGCUUUGGACCGUGCCUUGUGGGUUGAGCACGGGAAUGCUUGCGAGCGAGAAGAACGCGAGGCGUCCGAGAAGGACAAAGGGAGGAAACGACAUGGCGGUGAUUUUGGAGGUCAAUCGGGUUCAAAGAAGCCCCCGAAGUACC